rnacentral:lncRNA from 1 species
AUGCUCUACAUUAUACUUUUAGAUCAUCACACCAGCCGAAGUUGCUGUGCAGAGGGAGGAGAUUGUCCGAGCAUCAGACCUCAUCCCGUCACAGAGGAAGGGUAUCCUCCAAACAGCCAGUGUCCUUUCACAGAGGGAGGGGAUUCUCUCAGCCGCCAGCAUCAAUGCACAGAGGGAGGAGAUCCUACGAUCAUCAGGCCUCAUCCCUGCACGGAGGGAGGGGAUCCUCCAAACAGCCAGUGUCACUGCGCAGAGGGAGGAGAUCCUCAGAGCAUCAGGCCUCAUCCCUGCACAUAGGGAGGGGAUCCUCCGAGCAUCAGGCCUCAUCCCUACAAAGAGAGUAGGGGGAUUCUUCCACAGCUCUGUUACUGCGCAGAAGAAUAAGAUGCUCAGAGCAUCACAACUCACCCCUGCACAAAGGGAGUUGAUCCUCUGCUGAUGACCAGUGUCACGCGCAAAGAAAGGGAAUCUUCCCAAAGGCCAGCGUCCCUGCGCACAGGGAGUGGAUCGUCCCAAAGGCUGGUGUCCCUGCAGAGAGAGGAGAUCCUCCUCACAGCCAGUGUCCCUGUGAAGAAUGAAAACAAUCAUCCACAACCACCUCCCAUCAUCCCCAUGGUGGCACUACUGUGGAAAUGGAUGGUGAGCGUGUACUCCACCUGUGGAUUUCUAUUCCAAGAGAAGAGGUCCCUUAACCUUACCUAAUUAGUAAAGAAAUACCUUGUGAAAGCGUGAGAAAAGUUCACUUCUCCCACUUAUUACGAUGU